UGGUGAAUAUUGCACAAUGGGGGAAACCCUGAUGCAGCGACGCCUCGUGAGCGAAGAAGGCCUUCGUGUCGUAAAGCUCUUUUAUAUGGGAAGAUAAUGACGGUACCAUAAGAAAAAGCCCCGUCUAACUAAGUGACAGCAGCCGCGGUAAUACGUAGGGGGCCAGCGUUGUCCGGAAUCACUGUGCGUAAUGUGUUCGCAGGCGGCAAUGCAAGUCAGAUGUAAAAGGCAAAGGCUCAACCUUUGUGAGCAUCUGAAACUGUAUAGCUUGAGGAGUGUAGAGGCAAGUGGAAUGUUUAGUGUAGCGGUGAAAUGCGUAGAUAUUAAAAAGAAUACCGGUGGCGAAGGCGACUUGCUGGGCGCAAUCUGACGCAGAGGAACGAAAGAGUGAGGAGCAAGCAGG
rnacentral:rRNA from 1 species